GACGAACGCUGGCGGCGUGCCUAAUACAUGCAAGUUGAGCGAUGAAGAUUGGUUCUUGCACCAAUUUGAAGAGCAGCGCACGUGUGAGUAACGUGUGGGGAAUCUUCCUUUGAGCGGGGGACAUCCUUUGGAAACGAAUGCUAAUACCGUAUAAUAUCUUUAUACAUAAGUUUUAAGUUUGAAAGAUGCCAUUGCAUCACUCAAAGAUGAUCCCUCGUUGUAUUAGCUAGUUGGUGAGGUAAAGGCUCACCAAGGCGAUGAUACAUAGCCGACCUGAGAGGGUGAUCGGCAACAUUGGAACUGAGACACGGCCAAAACGACGACGGGAGGAAGCAGUAGGGAAUCUUCGGCAAGGGACGAAAAUAUGACAGAACAAGGGCGAGUGAGUGAAGAAGGUUUUAGGAUCGUAAAAAUGUGUUGGUAGAGAAGAACGGUGGUGAGAGUGGAAAGAUCAUCAAGUGACGGAAAGAACCAAGAAAGGGACGGCAAACUAGGA
rnacentral:rRNA from 1 species